GACGAACCGUGCAAACGUUAUUCGGAAUCACUGGCUUAAAGCGCGUGUAGGCGGAUGGGAACGUCGGCCUCUGGAAAUCCCCCCGGCUCAACCGGGGAAGUGGAGCCGAAACGACCCGUCUGGAGGGACGUAGGGGGACCUGGAACUUCCGGUGGAGCGGUGAAAUGCGUUGAGAUCGGAAGGAACGCCCGUGGCGAAAGCGAGGUCCUGGACGUCUGCUGACGCUGAGACGCGAAAGCCAGGGGAGCGAACGGG
rnacentral:rRNA from 1 species